rnacentral:rRNA from 1 species
UUGACAAGCACUUUGGAAAGAGGGUGAAAAGAACCUGAAACCGCUACGGGGGAAGCGUAUUGGGUCAUAUUGAAUUGGAGGGUGUGCUGUUCAGCGCUUUUUUGCGUGUACUCGGUACAUUUUCUUUACCCGUCGUGUGUUUCAUAUGGCUGAUUUUGGGCCGUAUGGGACUGUGGGAUCCCCUUUCAUAGGGUGAGGACGAUGGGGCGCUGACACGAUACGACCCGUCUUGAAACACGGACCAAGGAGUCCAGCCUAUCUGCGAGUCAAAGGGUGAUUAAACCUGUGGGCGCAGUGAAAGCAACAUUUUUGUUUGGAAACGAACUAAUUGCAGUUUUAUGGCGGCAUACGAUCGUUGAUUGUAGGUCCGACCUAGAGCAGAUAUGCUGGGACCCGAAAGAUGGUGAACUAUGCCGGAGUAGGGCGAAGCCAGAGGAAACUCUGGUGGAGGCUCGUAGCGGUGCUGACGUGCAAAUCGCUCGUCUGACUCGGGUAUAGGGGCGAAAGACUAAUCGAACCAUCUAGUAGCUGGUUUCCUCCGAAGUUUCUCUCAGGAUAGCAGGCCGACGAGUAAGUUGUUGUGUGC